CCUACGGGGGGCAGCAGUGAGGAAUAUUGGUCAAUGGGCGGAAGCCUGAACCAGCCAAGUCGCGUGCAGGAUGACGGCCCUACGGGUUGUAAACUGCUUUUAUCCGGGAAUAACGCGCCUUACGUGUAGGGCUUUGCAUGUACCGUAUGAAUAAGGACCGGCUAAUUCCGUGCCAGCAGCCGCGGUAAUACGGAGGGUGCGGGCGUUGUCCGGAUUUAUUGGGUUUAAAGGGGGCGUAGGCCGAUGGUCAAGCGUGCGGUGAAAUUUCGGGGCUAAACCCGGCCCUGCCGGGGGAACCUGGGUGCUUGAGUGAGCGGGAAGCAGGCGGAAUGCGUGGUGUAGCGGUGAAAUGCAUAGAUAUGACGCAGAACCCCGAUUGCGAAGGCAGCUUGCUGGCGCGGAACUGACGCUGAUGCUCGAAAGUGCGGGUAUCGAACAGGAUUAGAUACCCUUGUAGUC
rnacentral:rRNA from 1 species